UACGUAGGGUGCGAGCGUUAAUCGGAAUUACUGGGCGUAAAGCGUGCGCAGGCGGUUUUGUAAGCCAGAUGUGAAAUCCCCGGGCUUAACCUGGGAAUGGCAUUUGGGACUGCAAGGCUUGAGUGCGGCAGAGGAGACUGGAAUUCCUGGUGUAGCAGUGAAAUGCGUAGAUAUCAGGAGGAACACCGAUGGCGAAGGCAGGUCUCUGGGCUGACACUGACGCUCAUGCACGAAAGCGUGGGGAGCAAACGAGG
rnacentral:rRNA from 1 species